CGUAAAGGUGCAUGAGUGGUGUUCGGUUUGUUACGGGUGGUUGGCUCUUUGCUUGCGCAACAACUUCCACCCGGCAUACCUCUUCAUUUUUAUUUCAAUGCUUGUAUCGCAUUGAACGCACGAUGGGUUUCUUGUGUUGUAUGCCUAACUGAUGGUAGCGUGUGAAGAAAUUUUGACCACUUUCGUCUUGUGUUGCAAACGCGACGUGAGAUGAACCUUGAAGCAGCCUUUGUGUUCCACUCUUUCGAUGUAACCUCAUCGAUAUUGUGGCCCAUUUAGAACUGCUCGGUCUCAUGGAUAUGGAACCUGGUGUGGGCAUGGGAUUUUGAUAGUUCCUUGUUUGCCCUAUUUUAGCUUUUAAAAUACGAUUGUCU
rnacentral:misc_RNA from 1 species